rnacentral:rRNA from 1 species
GAUGAACGCUGGCGGCGUGCCUAAUACAUGCAAGUCGAACGAGGUGCUUUUGUAGCAAUACGAGAGUAUCCUAGUGGCGAACGGGUGAGUAACGCGUUGGUGACCUACCCCAAAGUGUGGAAUAACAGUCCGAAAGGAUUGCUAAUACCGCAUGUGGUUAUCGGGUUUAGAAACUGAUAACUAAAGGAGCAAUUCGCUUUGGGAGGGACCUGCGUCCCAUCAGCUAGUUGGUGAGGUAAUGGCUCACCAAGGCUACGACGGGUAGGGGACCUGAGAGGGUGACCCCCCAAAAAGGAACUGAAACACGGUCAAAACACCUAGGGGUGGGAGAAGGAGGGAAUAUUGAAAAAUGGGCGAAGGCCUGAGGCAGCAACGCCGGGUGACCGAUGAAGGCCUUGGGGUCGAAAAGGUUUUUUCGGGGGGAAGGGAAAGGAAAGUUCCCCAGGAAUAAGGCUCGGCAAACUACGU